GACGAACGCUGGCGGCGUGCUUAAUACAUGCAAGUCGAGCGGAAAGGCCCUUCGGGGUACUCGAGCGGCGAACGGGUGAGUAACACGUGAGUAACCUGCCCCAGACUUUGGGAUAACCCUCGGAAACGGGGGCUAAUACCGGAUACGACACAGCUUCGCAUGGGGUCUGUGUGGAAAGUUUUUCGGUUUGGGAUGGGCUCGCGGCCUAUCAGCUUGUUGGUGGGGUGAUGGCCUACCAAGGCGACGACGGGUAGCCGGCCUGAGAGGGCGACCGGCCACACUGGGACUGGGACACGGCCCAGACUCCUACGGGAGGCAGCAGUGGGGAAUAUUGCACAAUGGGCGGAAGCCUGAUGCAGCGACGCCGCGUGAGGGAUGACGGCCUUCGGGUUGUAAACCUCUUUCAGCAGGGACGAAGCGUAAGUGACGGUACCUGCAGAAGAAGCGCCGGCCAACUACGU
rnacentral:rRNA from 1 species